CCCAGGCAUGUGUCCUUGGCUGGAAUCAAACCUGGGACCCUUCAGUCCGCAGGCUGAUGCUCUAUCCACUGAGCCAAACCAGCUAGGGCUAUAGAGUAUUUUUAAUAAUUAUAUGGGUAGGUGGACGCACAAACAACUUGGAGUAUAAAAAGCCAUGACAAAAACUAUGAGAAACUGAUUUUUGUACUAUCAUAAAUAAAGCAGAGGAGUAAAAGAAUUAGGUUACUGGUUUGAUUCCCGGUUAGGGCGUGUACAGAGGAUGGAUGUUUCUCUCUCACAUCAAUGUCUCCCUCCUACAGAUUCAUAGCCAGCAGUUGAAACAGAGUAAAGCUGAAGUGUGCUGGUAAAUGCUUAGAUCCUGCAGUUUGUGUUCAUUUAUCAGAUGAUCUAUCCUGUGACUUCCUGGCUUGCUCAGGAAGACAUGCUGGGGAAAUGAUCGAGAAAAGUUUUCAUUACUCUCAAAGCCAAGGGGAUGGUAAUUGGGAGAAGCAAGAGACUAAAAGAAUGGAUAAAAUGUUAGUGUUGAUUUGGAAAAUGGGCAGUUAAAGUUGGGUUUAUGGGAAUUCCCUGAAGAUAUUGCCAGUUUGAUUCCAGACCACUGCAAUAAAGCAAGCAUUACAGUAAAGGCAGUCGUAAUCUUUUUUAUUAUGGUUGAGGGUCUUGCCUUCAA